AAAGCGGAGGAAAAGAAACCAACCGGGAUUGCCUUAGUAACGGCGAGUGAAGCGGCAAAAGCUCAAAUUUGAAAUCUGGUACCUUCGGUGCCCGAGUUGUAAUUUGGAGAGGGCAACUUUGGGGCCGUUCCUUGUCUAUGUUCCUUGGAACAGGACGUCAUAGAGGGUGAGAAUCCCGUGUGGCGAGGAGUGCGGUUCUUUGUAAAGUGCCUUCGAAGAGUCGAGUUGUUUGGGAAUGCAGCUCUAAGUGGGUGGUAAAUUCCAUCUAAAGCUAAAUAUUGGCGAGAGACCGAUAGCGAACAAGUACAGUGAUGGAAAGAUGAAAAGAACUUUGAAAAGAGAGUGAAAAAGUACGUGAAAUUGUUGAAAGGGAAGGGCAUUUGAUCAGACAUGGUGUUUUGUGCCCUCUGCUCCUUGUGGGUAGGGGAAUCUCGCAUUUCACUGGGCCAGCAUCAGUUUUGGUGGCAGGAUAAAUCCAUAGGAAUGUAGCUUGCCUCGGUAAGUAUUAUAGCCUGUGGGAAUACUGCCAGCUGGGACUGAGGACUGCGACGUAAGUCAAGGAUGCUGCAAAGCAUGU
rnacentral:rRNA from 1 species